CUCGUAGGCGGUUCGUCGCGUCCGGUGUGAAAGUCCAUCGCCUAACGGUGGAUCUGCGCCGGGUACGGGCGGGCUGGAGUGCGGUAGGGGAGACUGGAAUUCCCGGUGUAACGGUGGAAUGUGUAGAUAUCGGGAAGAACACCAAUGGCGAAGGCAGGUCUCUGGGCCGUUACUGACGCUGAGGAGCGAAAGCGUGGGAGCGAACA
rnacentral:rRNA from 1 species